AUAGGAAAUACACGGGUUAUCUGGGC
rnacentral:piRNA from 1 species